CCUACGGGGGGCAGCAGUGGGGAAUAUUGCACAAUGGGGGAAACCCUGAUGCAGCGACGCCGCGUGAGUGAAGAAGUAUUUCGGUAUGUAAAGCUCUAUCAGCAGGGAAGAAAAUGACGGUACCUGACUAAGAAGCCCCGGCUAACUACGUGCCAGCAGCCGCGGUAAUACGUAGGGGGCAAGCGUUAUCCGGAUUUACUGGGUGUAAAGGGAGAGUAGACGGCCAGACAAGUCAGAAGUGAAAGCCCAGGGCUCAACCCUGGGACUGCUUUUGAAACUGCCGGGCUGGAGUACAGGAGGGGCAGGCGGAAUUCCUAGUGUAGCGGUGAAAUGCGUAGAUAUUAGGAGGAACACCGGUGGCGAAGGCGGCCUGCUGGACUGUGACUGACGUUGAGGCCCGAAGGCGUGGGGAGCAAACAGGAUUAGAUACCCGUGUAGUC
rnacentral:rRNA from 1 species